UACAGAGGUCUCAAGCGUUGUUCGGAUUCAUUGGGCGUAAAGGGUGCGUAGGUGGCGCCGUAAGUCAGGUGUGAAAUUUCGGAGCUUAACUCCGAAACUGCAUUUGAUACUGCGGUGCUUGAGGACUGGAGAGGAGACUGGAAUUCACGGUGUAGCAGUGAAAAUGCGUAGAUAUCAAGAGGAACACCAGUGGCGAAGGCGAGUCCCUGGACAACACCUGACACUGAGGCACGAAAGCCGGGGAGCAAAACAGG
rnacentral:rRNA from 1 species